rnacentral:rRNA from 1 species
CCAAUAGCGUAUAUUAAAGUUGUUGCAGUUAAAAAGCUCGUAGUUGAAUUUCGAGACCGGUUUAUUGGUCGUGCUUUUGUACGUACUGGUAUUAUUGGUUUCUCCUUUCUGACGAAUCUUAAUGCCAUUAAUUUGGUGUUUUGGGGAAUCAGGACUGUUACUUUGAAAAAAUUAGAGUGUUUAAAGCAGGCUCACGCUUGAAUACAUUAGCAUGGAAUAACGGAAUAGGACGUUUGAUUCUAUUUUGUUGGUUUCUAGGAUCGACGUAAUGAUUAAUAGGGAUAGUUGGGGGCAUUAGUAUUCAAUUGUCAGAGGUGAAAUUCUUGGAUUUAUUGAAGACUAACUACUGCGAAAGCAUUUGCCAAGGAUGUUUUCAUUAAUCAAGAACGAAAGUUAGGGGAUCGAAGACGAUCAGAUACCGUCGUAGUCUUAACCAUAAACUAUGCCGACUAGGGAUCGGAUGAUGUUAAUUUUUUAAUAACUCAUUCGGCGCCUUACG